UACGUAGGGUGCGAGCGUUGUCCGGAAUUAUUGGGCGUAAAGAGCUCGCAGGCGGUGUGUCACGUCGGCCGUGGAAACCUGCAGCUUAACUGUGGGCGUGCGGUCGAUACGGGCAUCACUGGAGUUCGGCAGGGGAGACUGGAAUUCCUGGUGUAGCGGUGAAAUGCGCAGAUAUCAGGAGGAACACCGGUGGCGAAGGCGGGUCUCUGGGCCGAUACUGACGCUGAGGAGCGAAAGCGUGGGGAGCAAACAGG
rnacentral:rRNA from 1 species